AGCAGCCGCGGUAAUUCCAGCUCCAAUAGCGUAUAUUAAAGUUGUUGCAGUUAAAAAGCUCGUAGUUGAAUUUCGGGGUUAGUAGGUUGGUCAUGCCUCUGGUAUGUACUGGUCUCACUGAUUCCUCCUUCCUGAUGAACCUUAAUGCCAUUAAUUUGGUGUUUUGGGGAAUUUGGACUAUUACUUUGAAAAAAUUAGAGUGUUUAAAGCAAGCUAACGCUUGAAUACAUUAGCAUGGAAUAAUGAAAUAGGACGUUCGAUCCUAUUUUGUUGGUUUCUAGGAUUGACGUAAUGAUUAAUAGGGAUAGUUGGGGGCAUUAGUAUUCAAUUGUCAGAGGUGAAAUUCUUGGAUUUAUUGAAGACUAACUACUGCGAAAGCAUUUGCCAAGGAUGUUUUCAUUAAUCAAGAACGAAAGUUAGGGGAUCGAAGACGAUCAGAUACCGUCGUAGUCUUAACCAUAAACUAUGCCGACUAGGGAUCGGAUGAUGUUAAUUUUUUAAUGUACUCAUUCGGCGCCUU
rnacentral:rRNA from 1 species